ACGGAAGGCAGCAGUGAGGAAUAUUGGGCAAUGGAGGAAACUCUGACCCAGCCAUGCCGCGUGAGUGAUGAAGGUUUUCGAAUUGUAAAGCUCUUUCGGAUGUGACGAUGAUGACGGUAACAUCUAAAGAAGCCCCGGCAAACUUCGUGCCAGCAGCCGCGGUAAUACGAAGGGGGCAAGCGUUGUUCGGAAUUACUGGGCGUAAAGGGUGUGUAGGCGGAUUAGUAAGAUAGUGGUGAAAUGCCUGAGCUCAACUUAGGAACUGCCAUUAUAACUAUUGAUCUAGAGUGAUAGAGAGGAUAUUGGAAUACCCAGUGUAGAGGUGAAAUUCGUAGAUAUUGGGUAGAACACCAGAGGCGAAGGCGAGUAUCUGGCUAUCAACUGACGCUGAGGCACGAAAGCAUGGGGAUCAAACAGGAUUAGAUACCCUGGUA
rnacentral:rRNA from 1 species